UCAGACAUCACUUAGAGAUCUUAUUCAAAUGCAUAUUCUGGCUAUGUGGGUCCAGGGUGAGAUUCUGCAUUUCUAAUAUGCUCCCAGGUGAUGCCUAU
rnacentral:miRNA from 1 species